GCUCUGGUGGCCUUGUAGUUAGACCGUCCGCCUCGAAUGCGGGAGGUUGCGGGUUCGAACCCCGGCCAAGUCAUACCCAAUGCA